GCAGGAGGCACGCGCGCGGCUGAGGCGAGGUCGCUCGGCGCAGCUGUUGCGGGGCCAUGGCGGGGACCGCGCUCAAGAGGCUGAUGGCCGAGUACAAACAAUUAACACUGAAUCCUCCGGAAGGAAUUGUAGCAGGCCCCAUGAAUGAAGAGAACUUUUUUGAAUGGGAGGCAUUGAUCAUGGGCCCAGAAGACACCUGCUUUGAGUUUGGUGUUUUUCCUGCCAUCCUGAGUUUCCCACUUGAUUACCCGUUAAGUCCCCCAAAGAUGAGAUUUACCUGUGAGAUGUUUCAUCCCAACAUGUCACCCUAUGGGACCAACUCCUGGAGAAGGCAACACAGAAGUGGGAAACUUCCUGAUUUUGUGGAUGUGGAUCUUAGGUGGACAGCCUGAUGUCCAGGGCAAGUAUGCAUCUAGUUUCUUCCACUCUCCUUGAAUGAGAAGUUGUGGUUCAGUUCCUGGAUAGUAGAGCGUUCACCACUGAACGUUCACCACUGAAACAAUGGAUGAGUGGAAACACAUAGGACCAGGUAUGAAAGACAAGACUGUUUGAAGGUAAGUGAUCGCCAUUCACAUUUGUGAAUUUUCAUG
rnacentral:lncRNA from 1 species